UACGGGGGGAGCAAGCGUUGUUCGGAUUUACUGGGCGUAAAGGGCGCGUAGGCGGCCACCGCAAGUCAGUUGUGAAAUCUCUGGGCUUAACCCAGAAAGGUCAACUGAUACUGCGGGGCUAGAGUGCAGAAGGGGCAACUGGAAUUCUCGGUGUAGCGGUGAAAUGCGUAGAUAUCGAGAGGAACACCUGCGGCGAAGGCGGGUUGCUGGGCUGACACUGACGCUGAAGCGCGAAAGCUAGGGGAGCAAACGGG
rnacentral:rRNA from 1 species